CACGCGCACGUUCCUUACGUCGUUCUUUCUGUGUCACGUGGCCACUUGACUUCAUUCAUGGGGACAGAUCCUUUUAUACUACGAGCGUGUAUGCGUCCUCCAUAAAAAUGCACGCGGUGUAAUGAACGCUUCUACGAAUCGGCCGCAGCCAACCAAAACGUAAUCGAUUCGAGGAAAACAGAAUUUUAUAAGCUACACGUAAUCGAAAAAUCAACACGUGUCUUAUUCCCUUGCUGGUUUCUUAUUCAACAUGCACUCGUGAUUCAACUUUAACCAAUAAUUGCCUGACAAGAAAACGGACGGUCGAUGCACUUUCAAUCGCAGGUCGAUCGCGAUACGUAAUCUUUGAGCGCACAGAGGCAAUCGAAUCGAGUAAUGUGCAUACCAUGAGAUUCGAAUGGAAGAAUUAAGAUGAAAAAAAUACACGACUUGCUACCUGCAUAUUAUCCUUGAUAAACGUGCUGUCUAAUUUUAGCAUGAUCGUAAGAUAAUGGGAAUGAGAGUUGACAUAAUGAUUGUUUACUCAAUAGCGUAGAGUUUAGAAAAUAUGUGGAACAAAAUGAGGAAAUGAAGAUCGAGCUGAUUUCACAAGUAGCGAAGCUUUCUGUGGUUUUAGAAUAGCGUAAAGUAUAGAAGAUUGUAAAACGUAUCUUCCUUUUAAUGAGCCACUGCUAUUCAACCAUCUUUCUCACGUAUGAAGAAUUCACAAUACUUUAUUGUUCAGCCUCUGAAGACGACAGACUUUUGUCUCCUUCUAAUAGUCGCUACAACAUUAAAAUAUCUUCCGGUGUGAU